ensembl:lncRNA
AUGAGGAGGUCUGGGAGGGCCACUGAGGUCUGUGUAUGAGGAGGUCUGGGAGGGCCACUGAGGGUCUGUGUAUGAGGAGGUCUGAGAGGGCCACUGAGGGUCUGUGUAUGAGGAGGUCUGGGAGGGCCACUGAGGGUCUGUGUAUACAGUACAAGCGGAAAACAGGAGCGCUGCUGGCAGCUGAGAUGUGUUAGAUCACUCAGGCUUCCAGGGGCUACGGCGGAGCUCAGCGCCAAAACAUGAUGUCAACCAGCAGUCAGCCAGGCAACACGCCUCUGGCCUCUACUGCCUUCAUGCCUCUCUCUCUCUCUGCUUUAUUCUCACUUUCUCUUGCUUUUUUCCUCUUUCUCUCUCUCUCUUUCUGCUUUCCUAACUCUCUCUCUCUCUGACUCCCUUGUUCUGUUUUUUCCUUCCAUCUUUUUUCCUCUCUUUGUUUCUUUCUUUCUCUCUUUCUUUCUCCCUGCCUUUCUUUUUUUUCUUCAUCAUGUUCUCUCUGUUUCUCAUUUCCUUUUUUCUCCCUCUUUCUCUCUUUCUACUCAGUCUUUCAUAGUUUCUCUGUCUUUCCAUCUGCUUCUCCUCCACCCUCUUUUUGCCUCUCUCCCUCUCUCUUUCUAUCGAUCUCUCUGCCUCUCUCUCUUUCUCUCCAUCUCUCUCUCCCCCUGUCUGGAGUGUGAGUGUGUCCCUAGAAGGCUGUGUUUGGAGCAACCGCUCCUGCAGCUUAUGGCUUCCCUGCCUUUCACCCUCUCUCUCUCUCCCUCUCUCUCUUUCUCUCUCUUUCACCAUCCCUCUCUCUCCCACUCUCUCUCUCUCUUUCUGUCUCUCUUUCACCAUCUCUCUCUUUUUCUUUCACCAUCCCUCUC